AUGGCGAAACCAGGCAAGCACACGGCUUCAUCGUCUUCCUUUGUGGUGCCGCUUCUCUACUUGACGAUCACAGUCCUUCUGUCAUCUGGGUGCAAAUCUGUGGACGCAACGGAUAUUCUUCUUCCGGGCCAAUCUCGGAGUGGUAACCAGUCCUUACUCUCGAAAUAUGGUUCCUUCAAGAUGGGCUUCGAUUCAGAUUGCACAUUCGGCAUAUGGUACAUGAACUCAUCAACUUGCAGCCCUCUACUAGUUUGGGCGCCUGAUGUAUUUUCGCCCGGUUGUACAGAUAAGGCUUCGUUUGGACUCUUCAAAAAUGGAAGCCUAUAUCUAAAAAAUGAUGAGGCCUCACUUGCUUGGUCAUCACUUGGUACGGACGGUAUACCUAUCUCUGCAGUUGCAGUACUUCUUGACAAUGGAAAUCUUGUAGUAAGAGACCAAGUGAAUAUCUCUCUGGUGUCCUGGCAAAGCUUUGACAACCCAGUCGGUGCAGUGCUACCUGGAGGAUGGCUAGGAUUUAAUAGGGUCACUGGCAAGAACGUCUCUCUUGUUUGGAUUGAUCGCUUUAUUCUCAAGAUAAAUGCAGAGCAAAGCAGAGGGUUUAUUGUGCAGGAUACUUCCGACAAUAUAAAUUACUCUGAUGCUUUUCCCAGCUGGAUGGACAUUCAUGAGGAGGAUGGAGGCUCUUUUCUGAUGUUCAAUGAUGCACAUCUGUACCUACAAUUGCAUGAUGAUGGUACUGUCAGUGCUGCUAAACUAGGGGACUGUGGUCCGGCGCUGUGGUCUCAAUAUAGUCGGUGCGGUAAUGCAGCAUAUUGUGGCCCAGACAGCAUUUGUGUAGUGCCAUAUGCCGAAAUCCGGUCAUAUUGUUUGAGAGUUGCAGCUCCACAUUGUCUAUCUAAUCUUUCCGCUAAACAAGACAUCUCUUUUCAUCCCAUAGAUGAAGUCCUUGUAUUUCCAGAAACUCCGUCGUUGGUGCAGGUCAGAGGCAUCAGAGAGUGCGAAGCUAUUUGUUCCAGUGACUGUUCUUGUACGUCAUAUGCUUUCAAUGGAACAUGCUUACUGUGGUCUGUGGAGCUGCACAAACUCACUGUAGGGAUCAUGCCUGGUUCAGAUGGGCAUCUGUACAUACGCACGGCUAAGCAAAAAGAAAAUUCGGGUUCCAAGAUUGGAAUUCUUAUUCCAACAGUGACGGGUGUUUUGCUCCUCCUCCUUGUUGCUCUGUUUGUUUGGUGGAGAAGCAAAAGGAAGAUAUUCACAGAAAGACCAGAGAAUUGUAGCGGUGGCCUUAUGAUCUUCUCGGACGCGCAGAUGAAGAAAGCGACGAGAAAUUUCUCUGAAAAACUUGGAGAAGGAGGUUUCGGCUGUGUUUUCAAGGGGACAUUGCCAGCAGCAGCUUCCUCCAUGGUGGCUAUCAAAAGGCUAAAAGACCUUGGUCAAGGAGAGAAGCAAUUCCGAGCCGAAGUGCAAACAAUUGGAAUGAUCCAACACAUCAAUCUUGUCCGUUUAUUUGGGUUUUGUGUGGAAAGAAGUACGAGGAUGCUGGUAUACGAGUACAUGGAGAACGGAUCUUUGAAUUCCCAUCUGUUUUCCAAGGGUUCUUCAAAAUUACCCUGGGAGCUCCGGUACCGCAUAGCACUCGGAACCGCGAGAGGCCUGGCCUAUCUGCACGAGGGGUGCACGGACCGCAUUAUACACUGCGACAUGAAGCCGGACAACGUGCUCCUUGACGCAGACUUCUGUCCCAAAAUUGCAGACUUUGGCAUGGCCAAGCUGCUGGGUCGAGAUUUCAGCAGGGCGCUGACGACGAUGCGAGGGACCAUCGGAUACCUCGCGCCGGAGUGGAUCUCGGGGGUUCCGAUCACACACAAGUCAGAUGUCUACAGCUACGGCAUGAUGCUUCUUGAGAUCAUAUCGGGGCGAAGGAACUCGGAGAAAAUCAAGGAAGGGGAGUUUACCUACUUCCCAAUCUUUGCUGCGGUCAAGGUGAAUGAAGGGGAUGUUGUGUGCCUGCUGGACAGUAGGCUGGCGGGCGAUGCGGAUUUGGAGCAGCUGACCAGAGCUUGCAGAACUGCAUGCUGGUGCAUUCAAGAUGAUGAGGAUCACAGGCCAAUGAUGGGUCAUGUUGUGCGCAUGCUUGAGGGUGUUGUAGACGUCCAAGUACCACCCAUUCCGAGGUCUCUACAGAAUUUUGUGGGAAUGGAUGAUUGCUCUCACUCUACAGCCUUCUAUACUCUUUGA
rnacentral:rRNA from 1 species